rnacentral:lncRNA from 1 species
UUGGCGGUGCCAGCCCCCACCACAGGCACUCGAGGCGCACCCACGGGUGCCCCCCCCCACCCACCGGGAGGCACCGGGGGGGCACCGUGAGGAGGCCUCAGAGGGCCUGGAAGCCUCCUCGCCCCCUGAGGGCACCGGGACAGCACCGGGGCCUCCUUUUUCCCCCCUUCGGGGUGUCCCGGAGCCGUGAGGGGGGCGCUCCCCGGGGCCCGCCCUACCGGGGCGGCGCCGCCACCACCACCGCCACCGCCACCCUCUCCCGCCCCGUGGCCGCGGCCCGGUGGCGGAGCCAAACGAGAAACCGGGGAUCGAAACCGGGGGCUGGGGAAAAGCGCAUGAGCCGCGGAGGAGCUGUGAGGGGCGGUGAGGGGCGGCGGCGGCGGGCGGGGAGCUCGGCACCGGAGCUCGGCUCCGCGGCUGGCGGCUCGCCGGGGAGCCCCGCAGCCGAAGGGGCGGCCGCCGAGAGAUGGCGGAUCCCUACACCUGCAAAGGGGGAAGGAAAACAGCAGGCUCCAACAAACCCGCUGCCAGCAAGGAAAGCAGGACGGACACGAGGAUAAACCCCCCGGCGGAGCUCCCCAAGCUCGGUAAGGAACCAGCCUUUAUUUCCACAGGGGUGGGCUCUCCCUUUAGAGGUCUCUCCCUUUAGAGGUCUCUCCCUUUAGAGGUCUCUCCCUCUAAAGGAACCCGUGCCUGUCUAACGAGCCGGGUGUCUCGCCCUCUAUUUGUCACGUCGGGGAGCUGAGUGCUACAUGAAAAGGCUGGAAAGGCUUGAAAGGAGCACAGCCCAUCUGCUGCCCCCCGUGUCGCGCCCCCCAGGAGGGAGCUCGCCGCCGCAUGAGCCCUGGGGGACCCUCGUGCUAAGGGCUGUCGCGCUGAUGGAUGGCUGAUUGCUCUAUCCUGGAAUCCCAGAGCCCAAGGAGAUUUUUCUCCUGUCUGUUUCCGCUGGGUAAAUCCGCUCUGUGAUGCUGAGAGGCUCUCAGAGCUCCUGAACGUCGCGGGGUGCAGCUUCAGGGCGCAAUGUGCCAGGGCGAAUUAGGCUCAGCACAGGCUGGGGAGGAAGGAGCCUCUCCUGCAGUUGCUUUGCUGACCCCAUGGAUGCAGCGUGGCCAGGGCAGGGCAGGGAGUGCACUUUCUGUGCUGUGCUUUCGGUCUUGCUCCAAAGAAACCCUAAAUCUCUUGGUGAGCCAUUCCCAAUCCCCGUUUUUAAAGAGCGCGCCGUUCCCACCUUGCUGACACAGCACAACUCGCUGCAGGGGGACACAGCCACGGUACCAGCCCUGAAAAUACCCUAAAAAUCAGGUUUAUGCCUCUUAGGAGUGCCUGGAAAGGCCGGGGUUCAGCAGCCAGCAUGCUGUGGUGCCUGCUGCAUGCCAGCACGGCGCACCGUGGCACACCACGGCUCACCACAGCGACCGCAGGCAUCGUGCUGGAAAAGGAGAAGCGUUUUCUGUUCCUCCUGCUUGCUCUCCCUGCCUGCCCUCGCUGACCCCAGCCAGCAGCUGAUCGCUGAGGGCACUGGGAGGUGCCUUGCCUGGAAGCUGUCCUGCUUUUGUCUGG